rnacentral:rRNA from 1 species
GACGAACGCUGGCGGCGUGCCUAAUACAUGCAAGUAGAACGCACAGUUUAUACCGUAGCUUGCUACACCAUAAACUGUGAGUUGCGAACGGGUGAGUAACGCGUAGGUAACCUGCCUGGUAGCGGGGGAUAACUAUUGGAAACGAUAGCUAAUACCGCAUAAUAUUGAUUAUUGCAUGAUAAUUGAUUGAAAGAUGCUAUUGCAUCACUACCAGAUGGACCUGCGUUGUAUUAGCUAGUAGGUGAGGUAACGGCUCACCUAGGCGACGAUACAUAGCCGACCUGAGAGGGUGAUCGGCCACACUGGGACUGAGACACGGCCCAGACUCCUACGGGAGGCAGCAGUAGGGAAUCUUCGGCAAUGGACGAAAGGCUGACCGAGCAACGCCGCGUGAGGGAAGAAGGUUUUCGGAUCGUAAAGCUCUGUUGUAAGAGAAGAACGGGGGUGAGAGUGGAAAGUUCACACUGUGACGGUAGCUUACCAGAAAGGGACGGCUAACUACGUG